CGCUUUAGUGACCACGAUUUUAAGAAAGUACUUUAUAUGUGUCAAAAAUGCUAAUUCUUUACUGGGGACUAAACAUUGUCUAAGUUCUUCCCACUCUCACCAACAACAGUAGUUAAAGGGCGAGCAAGGACUAUAGCUUCCGAGUCUGUCCGUGUCUGACUUUACAGCCUCUGCCUCACAAGUCCACAUGCUUUCCUGAGCAGUUUGAGAGGUUAAUGAAUGCCUCAAAGUGAGGAUUGCAGGGUGCUUUGCAAUUCGCUUGACCUACAAGUUGGAACAUGAAAGCACAUGCUUGUCUUUGUCCCCACUGCAGGGUGCAGCUCUGCCACAUUUAGAAGAACUGGUGUGUCGUAACUGCCGCAGUGUUGCGUUUUAUGAAGGGACAAACCGUGGGUUAUAUCCUGUCCUGCUAUGUGUCAAAGAAUUAUGAUGGGGAAGAAGGGAAGACAUGCAAAUGUAGUAAUCGUCAGAUUCCCUGUGUGUCAGACCUGGAGUAUGAUCGUCUCAUUAGGAAUCAGAUAACCCUUAAUGAGCAGACUACAGUGGUCUGUGUCUCAUCUUCACAAACAAGGGUCCUAAAGAAGACAAGACAGAGCAGCUGUACGAAAGAAAGAACAAGAACAUAAGUAUGCCUUGUAUUCAGGUUAGAUUCCUAUUUGCACACCCCACAACAAUUAAAAGUUGUUUGUCAUCAGCAGCACAGAUAAUCUCUAACAUGAAAAGGACAACUCAGCUGUCUUCUUUGUAAAUUACCAGCGCAAGAAGGGUGGUACUACAAACCCCAAACGGAUAACAAAGCUUUCAUUAUAUGUAUUUAAACUCUGGUUAUUAAAUUUAAAUGAACUUUAGCAUGAUCAAAUCUUGAUUUACUUGAACUCUUCGGACUGCAUGUGCACAUAAACACAUGAAUUUGUCAAGCUGUUUCUCUAAGGGGCGGUUCGUACCACAGAAUUGUUUCAAUAAUAUGCAUAUGAGCAUGUGAAGUUGGCUAGUCUGCAUGAAAUAUUCCUAGACAGAAGGAAGAAGGGAAUUAACCUCAAGAAUCACUGUCUCAGUCAA